rnacentral:rRNA from 1 species
CGGCGGACGGGUGAGUAACGCGUGGGUAACCUGCCUCAUACAGGGGGAUAACAGUUAGAAAUGGCUGCUAAUACCGCAUAAGACCACAGUACCGCAUGGUACAGUGGUAAAAACUCCGGUGGUAUGAGAUGGACCCGCGUCUGAUUAGGUAGUUGGUGAGGUAACGGCCCACCAAGCCGACGAUCAGUAGCCGACCUGAGAGGGUGACCGGCCACAUUGGGACUGAGACACGGCCCAG